CCUACGGGCGGCAGCAGUGAGGAAUAUUGGUCAAUGGACGAGAGUCUGAACCAGCCAAGUAGCGUGAAGGAUGACUGCCCUAUGGGUUGUAAACUUCUUUUAUAUGGGAAUAAAACGUUCCACGUGUGGGAUUUUGUAUGUACCAUAUGAAUAAGGAUCGGCUAACUCCGUGCCAGCAGCCGCGGUAAUACGGAGGAUCCGAGCGUUAUCCGGAUUUAUUGGGUUUAAAGGGAGCGUAGGUGGAUUGUUAAGUCAGUUGUGAAAGUUUGCGGCUCAACCGUAAAAUUGCAGUUGAAACUGGCAGUCUUGAGUACAGUAGAGGUGGGCGGAAUUCGUGGUGUAGCGGUGAAAUGCUUAGAUAUCACGAAGAACUCCGAUUGCGAAGGCAGUUCACUGGACUGCAACUGACACUGAGGCUCGAAAGUGUGGGUAUCAAACAGGAUUAGAUACCCUUUUAGUC
rnacentral:rRNA from 1 species